rnacentral:lncRNA from 10 species
CCUUCCAGUACUUGUGAUGUGGUUUGGACACCACGUCUCUUCGCCCACCACUCACCAGGAUGGGACCAGACAGCCUCAGCCCUCCAUCUGAGAUAAUACCCCAAGCAGGGAACCUCUUGGGAAAAGGCAGAGUUGCUAUGCCAAAUAAAUCACAUGUCCAUUUAGUAAUAAACCAACACAAAUAGCACAAGUGGAUUUUUGUGGCGUUUCCAAAGGUGAGCCUGUCUGUCCAGUGAAGCUGAGGAAUCUGGACUGGGAGGACCCAGACUGCAGUCCGACCUCCAGCACCUUAGGCAGCCAGUGUUUCCAGUGCUGCAGCCACAGCUGAGGGGAAAACAGUUUACCAGACUUUAAUGAUGUUCACAAAACAACCACAGCCCUGGGCAUGUUGUGUGCUCUUUGUAAAUUAACUCACAUAAUCCUCACGACAACCUUCUAAGAUGGGCACUGUUGCCUUCAUCUCACCACGUUGGAUGGCACAGUCACCAAGUUCCUGACCUCCUCUUCUCUAUUGGUUUAUUCGCAGGCCGGAAAAGAGGCAUAAACUCGGAGAACCCAAGACCCCGGCCUGGCGUGCAGCCCCAGCAGCCGGACCAGCCUUGGGCAACAGCGUGCGACGUUCAGCUGUCUGUGUCUCCAGUGCUCCCAUUCCAUCGCACCUGAAUGAGGGAUUUGGGAGGUAAAACAGGGCUGAGCGUGCGUUCGAGCUUCUCCUGCAUCAUGACCAGGAUGCUCUGGGACACCUUGUCCACGUCUGUGUCCACCAGUCCUGCUCAGAAUCUCCCCAGGGGCUUUUCCACGAUGCCCAUCCAGGCGUCACCCUCACUCUAGGCCAGGAGGAGAAGGCAUGCCCUGAGGAUUCAGCCUCUUCUUCUUCAUCCCUCCCAGCACCCAGUGUGUUGGGUGCACACAUUCCUAGAGACCUUGAGUCCACAGCCCUGGGGCUCUGCACACUGCGGGUCCGGUGGUGUUUCCAGCGCCGUGUGGAUGACUUCCCCGCGUGUUUCCCCCUCUACACAGUUGAGGAACAGAGAAGAUCUCCACUUGCCAACGGACACAGCGCUAGUGAAGCCAAUUAUUGCUACAUCCACUGAUAAAGUUCGGGGGGAAUUAAAUUUUUUGGUCCAUGGAUGCAAAUCGCCUCCAGGCACCUUUACUAUCUCAGUGCUCUCCUCAGGAGGCUGCUGUUGGUGGCCAGGGAUUUUGCCAUAGCAAAGUUCUUACAGAUUCCCAAACAAUAGCACUCAGCUGUCUGCCUCUCUGGCAGGAGGACGGACAUUCGCAGCUUUGGACUCAUUUUCUUCCAAAUAUGAACACUUUCAAAGACAGGGAUCUGCCAAUGACUUUACCAGGAGGGCCUUGCCGGAGCUGUCACUGCUGUGGCAUGCAAGAAAGCAAGAGUCCUCCAGGAAGCCGGCCAAGAGGCGCCUUCUCUUAGGCCAAACAUGGGCAACAUGAGAAUAAGAAUACACAAAAUCAGGAGAACUAACAGGAGGCUGUGAGGAACUCACCCCAAAUAAUGAGGAAGCUGGAGAAUAAGACCAGCCUGGUCCAACUAAUGGCUGCUCCGUUGGAGGCACAGGAGUGCAGAGGCAGCGAGGCCUGCAGAAGACCCCUCGCUGCGCUGGGCGGCAACUCCAGUGAAAAGCUGCUAAUCAAACACAACUGAAUUCACACUAUUUUAAAAAUAAGUCUGUAAAGGCAAAACAGGUUAAUAGUAUUUUGACACUAAGCUUGUAGUUAUAACAGAUACUUUAAAAGGUCAAUCCCAGUUACCACGGUGACUGCAGCUCAGGCACCGCAGAAGUGCGUGAGGAUGAGAGUGAGGGAGCCGCAGCCUGGAAGGGUGGGUCCCAAAGUCUCACUGGCUGAUAGGGUUUGGCUGUGUCCCCACCCAAAUCUCACCUUGAAUUGUAGGUUCCAUAAUCCCCACGUGUUGUGGGAGGGACCUGGUGGGAGGUAAUUGAAUUAUAGGGGCGGGUUUCUCCCGUGCUGUUGUUGUGAUAGUGAAUAAGUCUCACACAAUCCGAUGGUUUUAUAAAGGGCAGUUCCCCUGCAUACACUCUGUCACCUGCCGCCCUGUAAGAUGUGUCUUUGCUCCUCCUUUGCCUUCCACCAUGAUUGUGAGG